rnacentral:rRNA from 1 species
CCUACGGUGCGCAGCAGUGGGGAAUAUUGCACAAUGGGGGAAACCCUGAUGCAGCGACGCCGCGUGAGUGAAGAAGUAUUUCGGUACGUAAAGCUCUAUCAGCAGGGAAGAAAAUGACGGUACCUGACUAAGAAGCCCCGGCUAACUACGUGCCAGCAGCCGCGGUAAUACGUAGGGGGCAAGCGUUAUCCGGAUUUACUGGGUGGAAAGGGAGCGUAGACGGCAGCGCAAGUCUGGAGUGAAAUCCCAUGGCUUAACCAUGGAACUGCUUUGGAAACUGUGCAGCUAGAGUGCAGGAGAGGUAAGUGGAAUUCCUAGUGUAGCUGUGAAAUGCGUAGAUAUUAGGAGGAACACCAGUGGCGAAGGCGGCUUACUGGACUGUAACUGACGUUGAGGCUCGAAAGCGUGGGGAGCAAACAGGAUUAGAUACCCGGGUAGUC